AUUGAACGCUGGCGGCAGGCUUAACACAUGCAAGUCGAGCGAGCGGCGGACGGGUGAGUAAUGUAUGGGAAUCUGCCAGAUGGAGGGGGAUAACUACUGGAAACGGUAGCUAAUACCGCAUACUAUCAGAUGUGCCCAGAUGGGAUUAGCUAGUAGGUGGGGUAAAGGCUCACCUAGGCGACGAUCCCUAGCUGGUCUGAGAGGAGGACCAGCCCAACUGGAACUGAGACACGGCCCAGCUUCCUACGGGAGGCGGAAGUGGGGAAUAUUGAACAAUGGGGGAAAGCCUGAUGCAGCCAUGCCGCGUGUAUGAAGAAGGCCUUAGGGUUGUAAAGUACUUUCAGCGGGGAGGCGUUACUCGCAGAAGAAGCACCGGCUAACUCCGUGCCAGCAGCCGCGGUAAUUC
rnacentral:rRNA from 1 species